UUGUUUUGUUUUGUUUUGUUUUAUCUCACCUUAUUAAGUUAGGUGGUGUAGUUCUGGGACUUGCUUUCAGUUAUUAUUUAUGAAAUGAAAGAAUCCAUAUCUUUUUAAUGUUAUGGUGCAAAGUUGCAUUAUGUGAUUUGUCAUCAGAAAGAAGGCAUAGGAACAAUGCGUAAACAUAUAGAGGCCCUUCUGAUAUUCAGAAAUACUACUAGAGGAGCAUCUUUGUUCUUUCCCUACCGACAGUUUUUGGUUUUCUAUGGGCCACCAGAUCUACCCUCAUCAGAAAUCAGAAUUGCUUUAUGCACACUUGACAUUCACGAGGACAGGCAUUAGAAAGACUUAAGAAGUUGGUUGUAGUGGACAGAUGGACUUGCAUACUGUGUGUGUAUAAAUGUGGUUAUGGAGAAAAGGAUUAGUCCCUCAAUGAUUACAGUUGGCCAGGGGGACAAAGCAGCUGCUGUUAGGUUAGGUUAGGUUAACGUUAAUGUUGUCUCUCUUACGUCGAUAUUAUUAUUAUUUUUUGGUCCCAUCCAAAUAUUCACGGUUCGACUGGGGUUGGAUUUGGAUUUGUAAGUACCCCAUCUUUGACUGCCGCUUUGUUGGUUCUUGUGGGUUGCUUCUUCUUAAAGUGAAAGGUUGCUUAAUUUCUUGCCCACCAGUCGAAUGAAGAAAUUAACUAAUUGUGGCUUUAUUGCUGCGAACAGCGUAUGUAUUUGAAAGGCUUUACGGGCAAUGAUUUUCCCCCCUUCACAAGAGGAUUUUUCGCGUUGUUUGAUGAUUUUCAGUUGGCCGUAUAAGUUUUAAGAUGUGUAGAAGCAGAGUGAUAUUAGGAUGGAGCUCUCAAAAGGUCGGAAAGCUUCUCCAUGCGACCGAAAAGAUGGAGCUUGUAAAUGUUGAGCUAAUCCAAUCAAAUCGUCUGAACUGCAAAAUCACUACACUGCUCAAUUUGACUAGAGAGCUGGACAAUGCUUUAUCUUGUGGAACAAAGUAUACCUCGAUGCCCAAUUUCCUAAGAUUAGUCGAUUUGCCAAGAAAAUUAAGAACCCAAUUAUUACCAUAAAUUGAUGCAGUUGAUAAUGUUAUAAGAUUUGUUGCAGAAACAUUAGCUUGAGGACGCCCUUUUAUUGCAGUCUUGCGCAAAUGGAGGUUCAAUAAACUUUGCAUCUUCCAUCUCAUCUGGAAUUCUGCUAAUCUUUGAUAGGCAUUAUGUGUAGAGUAUGUAGGUUAAUCAAGUUGUUCAUGGAUAAUAAGAACCUGCAGUACAAUAUGUUAGAGAAU
rnacentral:misc_RNA from 1 species